rnacentral:lncRNA from 1 species
CCUAGCAGUAUAUAGUGGUAACCUAAUAGGAUGAACAUAUGAACCCUUAGGUACAGUUAUCAUAUGAUUCAGUCCUUCUAUCGUGAGUCCCGACUUGGCAGAGGUCAUGGAGAGCUCGUCAAAUCUUAUCGUCAGUCAUAUACUAGAUUGGCUCGACUCGAGUUUAUUUGUGAAUUCUGUGAAAAUUCUUUUCGAGUAUUCACACUUGCUUUGGCCAAAGACUUUCUGAACUCAGUCUCACAAAUCGCAUAAGACUUCUCCUUUUCUACCAAAGUUGAUAGAUCACAUCUAGAUGCAUCCUACUCCAAAUAACGAACCUAAACCUACUGAAGCCAAUAUACACAGCAAGGAUCCAAAUAAAUAGGGACCAAGAAAAUGUGCAGUCAAACCC